rnacentral:rRNA from 1 species
CAGCAGUCGCCGCGGUAAUACGUAGGGCGCAAGCGUUAUCCGGAAUUAUUGGGCGUAAAGAGCUCGUAGGCGGUUUGUCGCGUCUGCCGUGAAAGUCCGGGGCUCAACCCCGGAUCUGCGGUGGGUACGGGCAGACUAGAGUGAUGUAGGGGAGACUGGAAUUCCUGGUGUAGCGGUGAAAUGCGCAGAUAUCAGGAGGAACACCGAUGGCGAAGGCAGGUCUCUGGGCAUUAACUGACGCUGAGGAGCGAAAGCAUGGGGAGCGAACAGGAUUAGAUACCCCUGUAGUCCCUGUCUCUUAUAC